rnacentral:rRNA from 1 species
AUGUGUGAGAGCUUUAAUAAGUGGAUUGUGGAAGCUAGAUUCUUUGCUGUUAUUACUAUGCAAGAGACCAUUAGAAGGAAAAUCAUGGUAAGGAUACAAGAGAACAAUGACAAGUGGCCAAAGUGGAGUGGUACUAUCUGUCCAAACAUUAUGAAAAAACUUGAAAAGAUGAUCAAUGAGUCAGCUCAUUGCACUGCCAUAUCUAAUGGCAACAACUGCUUUGAAGUGACACAAAGAGUGCAGUAUAGAUUCAAAGUUGAUUUGACCAACUGGACAUGUAGCUGUAGGUACUGGCAGCUCUCUGGUUUACCAUGUGCACAUGCUGUGUGUGCUAUACACAUGGUCACAAAUGACAUUUCUGGCUAUGUUGCUAGUUGCUUUUCAGUGGAGAAUUUCAAGGCAACAUACUCACACUUCCUCCAGCCAGUAGAUGGUAUGGCAACUUGGCCUGAAUCCAACAGACCUAGGCCAGCAGCUCCAGGAUAUGUAAAAAUGCCAGGAAGGCCAAGAACUGAGAGGAAGAAAGGGAAGGGAGAGAAACCCACUGCACCUAAGCACAGGAUGGGUAAAGUUGGCACAAUCAGUAUAUGCUCUGUUUGCAAAUGCACAGGUCACAACAAAACAAAGUGUACUGCUCCUAAACCAUCUGCUAGCAGUGCCCCAACUGCUAGGAAUUCUAGUGCAAAGCCAACUACAAAGGGCAGUUCUAGGCCAGCUACAAAGGCUAGUUCUAGGCCAACUACAAAGGUGAGUGUUUAG